rnacentral:rRNA from 1 species
AGACAGGGAUAACAUAUGGAAACGUAUGAUAAUACUUGAUAUUAUUAGUAUAUUGCAUGAUAUAUUAAUGAAAGGUGCGAGAGCAUGCUAUAAGAGAGCUUUGCAUCCUAUUAGCUAGUUGGUGGGGUAAAGGCCUACCAAGGCGAUGAUAGGUAGCCGGCCCGAGAGGGUGGACGGCCACAAGGGGACUGAGAUACGGCCCUUACUCCUACGGGAGGCAGCAGUGGGGAAUAUUGGACAAUGGAGGGAACUCUGAUCCAGCAAUUCUGUGUGCACGAAGAAGGUUUUCGGAUUGUAAAGUGCUUUCAGUAGGGAAGAAGGAAGUGACGGUACCUACAGAAGAAGCGACGGCUAAAUACGUGCCAGCAGCCGCGGUAAUACGUAUGUCGCGAGCGUUAUCCGGAAUUAUUGGGCUUAAAGGGCAUCUAGGCGGGUAUGCAAGUUGAAGGUGAAAGGCUGUGGCUCAACCAUAGUAUUGCCUACAAAACUGUAUACCUAGAGUACUGGAAAGGUGGGUGGAACUACACGAGUAGAGGUGAAAUUCGUAGAUAUGUGUAGGAAUGCCGAUGAUGAAGAUAACUCACUGGACAGAAACUGACGCUGAAGUGCGAAAGCUAGGGGAGCAAACAGGAUUAGAUACCCUGGUAGUCCUAGCUGUAAACGAUGAUCACUGGGUGUGGGGAUGAGAAGUCUCUGUGCCGAAGCAAAAGCGAUAAGUGAUCCGCCUGGGGAGUACGUACGCAAGUAUGAAACUCAAAGGAAUUGACGGGGACCCGCACAAGUGGUGGAGCAUGUGGUUUAAUUCGACGCAACGCGAGGAACCUUACCAGGUCUUGACAUACUCGGAAUCUAAGGGAAGCCUUGGAGUGCCUACGGGAACCGAGAUACAGGUGGUGCAUGGCUGUCGACAGCUCGUGUCGUGAGAUGUUGGGUUAAGUCCCGCAACGAGCGAAACCCCUAUCAUUAGUUGCCAUCAUUAAGUUGGGGACUCUAAUGAAACUGCCUGCGAAGAGCAGGAGGAAGGUGGGGAUGACGUCAAGUCAUCAUGCCCCUUAUGAUCUGGGCUACACACGUGCUACAAUGGGUAGUACAAAGAGGAGCGAGAUAGUAAUAUGGAGCAAAUCUUGAAAGCUACUCUCAGUUCGG